AGUGAACGCUGGCGGUAGGCCUAACACAUGCAAGUCGAACGGCAGCACAGUAAGAGCUUGCUCUUACGGGUGGCGAGUGGCGGACGGGUGAGGAAUACAUCGGAAUCUACUUUUUCGUGGGGGAUAACGUAGGGAAACUUACGCUAAUACCGCAUACGACCUACGGGUGAAAGCAGGGGAUCUUCGGACCUUGCGCGAUUGAAUGAGCCGAUGUCGGAUUAGCUAGUUGGCGGGGUAAAGGCCCACCAAGGCGACGAUCCGUAGCUGGUCUGAGAGGAUGAUAAGCCACACUGGAAGUGAGACACGGUCCAGAGUCCUACGGGAGGCAGCAGUGGGGAAUAUUGGACAAUGGGCGCAAGCCUGAUCCAGCCAUACCGCGUGGGUGAAGAGGGCCUUCGGGUUGUAAAGCCCUUUUGUUGGGAAAGAAAAGCAGCAGGUUAAGACCCCGCUGUUCUGACGGUACCCAAAGAAUAAGCACCGGCGAACUUCGU
rnacentral:rRNA from 1 species